UACCAGCACCCCGAGUGGUCGGGACGAUUAUUGGGCCUAAAGCAUCCGUAGCCGGUUCUACAAGUCCUCCGUUAAAUCCAGCUGCUUAACAGAUGGGCUGCGGAGGAUACUAUAAGACUAGGAGGCAGGAGAGGCAAGCGGUACUCAGUGGGUAGGGGUAAAAUCCGUUGAUCCAUUGAAGACCACCAGUGGCGAAGGCGGCUUGCCAGAAUGCGCUCGACGGUGAGGGAUGAAAGCUGGGGGAGCAAACCGG
rnacentral:rRNA from 1 species